AAUGGGCGCAAGCCUGAUCCAGCCAUGCCGCGUGAGUGAAGAAGGCCUUCGGGUUGUAAAGCUCUUUCGGCCGGGAAGAAAUCGUAUAGGUUAAUACCCUGUGCGGAUGACGGUACCGGCAUAAGAAGCACCGGCUAACUACGUGCCAGCAGCCGCGGUAAUACGUAGGGUGCGAGCGUUAAUCGGAAUUACUGGGCGUAAAGCGUGCGUAGGCGGUUACAUAAGGCAGAUGUGAAAUCACCGGGCUUAACCUGGGAACUGCGUUUGUGACUGUGUGACUAGAGUACGGUAGAGGGGGGUGGAAUUCCUGGUGUAGCAGUGAAAUGCGUAGAUAUCAGGAGGAACAUCGAUGGCGAAGGCAGCCCCCUGGACCUGUACUGACGCUCAUGCACGAAAGCGUGGGGAGCAAA
rnacentral:rRNA from 1 species